rnacentral:rRNA from 1 species
CUCAUUUUGUAUAUGUAUGANGUUAUGAUGUGAGUUACUCUNUGUAGUAUUGCUUGCACGUACUUAUGCAUUUAUUUGCAAGGUGUUGUCGGCGUGCACUUCUCCCCUAGUAGGACGUCGCGACCCGUUGGGUAUCGGUCUACGACCCGAGUGGUAGACUUUAAUAUUUUNAUAAUAUUAAAGACCCUUGGUGUUUUC